UGCAGUCGAGCGAAGAGUGGGAGCUUGCUCCCUGAUCUUAGCGGCGGACGGGUGAGUAACACGUGGGCAACCUGCCCUGCAGACUGGGAUAACUCCGGGAAACCGGAGCUAAUACCGGGUAAUACAUCGCACCGCAUGGUGCAAUGUUGAAAGUUGGCCUUUGGCUAACACUGCAGGAUGGGCCCGCGGCGCAUUAGCUAGUUGGUAAGGUAACGGCUUACCAAGGCGACGAUGCGUAGCCGACCUGAGAGGGUGAUCGGCCACACUGGGACUGAGACACGGCCCAGACUCCUACGGGAGGCAGCAGUAGGGAAUCUUCCGCAAUGGACGAAAGUCUGACGGAGCAACGCCGCGUGAGUGACGAAGGCCUUCGGGUCGUAAAGCUCUGUUGUUAGGGAAGAACAAGUACCGUUCGAAUAGGGCGGUACCUUGACGGUACCUAACCAGAAAGCCACGGCUAACUACGUGCCAGCAGCCGCGGUAAUACGUAGGUGGCAAGCGUUGUCCGGAAUUAUUGGGCGUAAAGCGCGCGCAGGCGGUCUUUUAAGUCUGAUGUGAAAGCCCACGGCUCAACCGUGGAGGGUCAUUGGAAACUGGAGGACUUGAGUGCAGAAGAGGAGAGUGGAAUUCCACGUGUAGCGGUGAAAUGCGUAGAUAUGUGGAGGAACACCAGUGGCGAAGGCGGCUCUCUGGUCUGUAACUGACGCUGAGGCG
rnacentral:rRNA from 2 species